UACAGAGGUCUCAAGCGUUGUUCGGAUUCAUUGGGCGUAAAGGGUGCGUAGGCGGCGCGGUAAGUCGGGUGUGAAAUCUCGGAGCUUAACUCCGAAACUGCAUUCGAUACUGCCGUGCUUGAGGACUGGAGAGGAGACUGGAAUUUACGGUGUAGCGGUGAAAUGCGUAGAUAUCGUAAGGAAGACCAGUGGCGAAGGCGGGUCUCUGGACAGUCCUGACGCUGAGGCACGAAGGCCAGGGGAGCAAACGGG
rnacentral:rRNA from 1 species